GGUGGCUGCAGUAAAACAAACAUUUUGGAAAAUGUUAAAGGUCAGCUUAGUGAAGAGGUAGUGAUGGUCAGAAACUAACUGUGGUUGAGGAAAUUUGCACAAAUAUAAUAGCCGACUCCAUUACCAAGGAAUUCAAGAAUAUUUUCAGUUUGGAACAGUUAAACAUGUAAUUUUUUUAUUUGCUACAAAAUUACUUUUCUGGAAAAGAAAAGCCCUUCAUAUAUCAGUGAGAGUUAUCACAUUAAGAUAAUUAAGUGAAAAAGAUAAGUUGUGC